GUCCAUGGCCAUACCACCUGAAAUGUGCUAGGUCUCAUCUGAUCUCGGAAGCUAAUCAAGGUCAGGCCUAGUUAAUACUUGGAUGGGAGAAAAUAUGUUCAAACU
rnacentral:rRNA from 10 species